AACAGACAGGUACACCUGUUUCAUCAUAGUACCACUGGGUUAAACAGACAGUACACCUGUCAUAUUAACACUGGGUUAACAGACAGGUACACCUUUAUCACAGAUAUAGACGGUGUUAACGACAGGUACACCUGUAUCAUAGUACCACUGGGUUAACACGACAGGUACACCUGUAUCACAGAUAUAUAGGGUUAACAGACAGGUACACCUGUAUCAUAAUACCACUGGGUUAACAGACAGGUACACCUGUACCACUGGGUUAACAGACAGGUACAUCUGUAUCACAGAUAUAGAGGGUUAACAGACAGGUACACCUGUAUCAUAAUACCACUGGGUUAACAGAUAUAGAGGGUUAACGAGGCAGGUAUGUAGGUAUGCGUCAGUCAUAAGGGGUUACUCACAUCCUGGCUUCUGUCCGUCUCUUUGUCAUAAUGCCUAUGACAGUACCUGAGGGGAGAGCAACACAAAAUCAGCUUGGAGUGAGAGAACAACAAGAGUUUUGAAUCAGCUUGUUGUUG
rnacentral:lncRNA from 1 species